AUCAGUCCGAAUAUCCACAUUUCUUCACUCAUUGGCCCACUCAGUCAGACGCCGAGCAGCAGGACGUGCUGCCUGUGCUUGGCCCUGACAUCCCUAGUCCGGUCUCCUCUUUCCUUAGUCAGGAAGUCUUGAGAGGCUGGAAAGUUAGGCACGUGAGUGGGUUUCCUCGUGACCCAGCUUCCUGCCCUGCAAGGUCUUAGGUCACAGCAGUGGGGGCGCUUGUCCUCCCAGGACCACAGCCUCGCCCUUGGGGCUCCCCUGCCUCCCCCACAGAGCUCAGCUCCCUGGUGCACCCACAGGCCCUGUCCUUCGGAUUCCGGGCAAAGGGACUCAGCUGCACAGGACAACCACCUGCCACGGGCACCCGAGCAGUGGUGUCAUCGGGCCCGAGGCAGCCUCGGUGCAAGGAUGGCCCUUCCUGGUGCAAGUCCUUCGGCUUUCCUGGCCCUGCUCAGGUGGGCUGAAAUCCCCGUAAGUGGGCACCGGGCCGUGGAGUGAAAGGACUCUUCCACCUUCCUCUUCCUGCAGGGAAUCCAGCCCAGAGGGUGAGUAGGGAGAACUCAGAGGGAGCCAGGAACUCUGCCUCCAUACAUGUUUGUCUCCGCCAGGUUGAAUGAGGGUGGCAGUGGCCCACCAGGUGCUGUGGUGCAGGCCAAUGAGGUACAACCCAGCCGUGUCUGGGGUCUCC
rnacentral:lncRNA from 1 species